UAAAAGAUGGACAUCAAGAGCAGUAUCCCCGAGGUCCCAGGAUAUCAUGAAGCACCGGAAGUGGUGCCAGGCCUGGCUGGAGGCGAAAGCACAGAACAAAAUAAAUGACAAAAAGUGAGAAGUCUAAGCAAGAGAUGGUCAAAGCAAACCAAAUGCUUGAAGAGUUAUCUUACAACCCAUAGGGAAUGCUGUAGUAGUUUAGAAACUUACAAUGAGACUUUUGUCAGCAGUUGCAGUAACGCAAAAAAACUUGUAUGGAGGGGUUACCUUUUUGUAUUCUGCUGGAUUCUUAUCACAGUAUCAUGCCAAGUGCCAGACUUCUAGAAUUCUCUGCAUAACAAAGCAGAUUUUGAGAUAUUCCUACUAUUCAUUUUGCACCAUCAAUGAACUUGCACUUGAGCAUUAAUUCAUAUGAAAUGUAAUAUCAAGUGAGUGAUGCAUUCUA